GGAUCAUGAUGGGAUCUUUCUUGUGCAAGAUGGGGGUUUUCAGGAGUUGGACUGGAGGUGUAGAUUUAAAGAUGCUUUUUCUAAGAUCAUAUAUGUGUUGCUUUUCUAUCCAUGCUCAGAAUUAUAACAUAUGCAUAGUCGAGGUUGCUCUAGAUUUAUUACCUCUGCUCUAUCUAUUAUGUGUCUAUAUAUGCUUAGUAGAUUGGAUCUGAAUCACUCAUCAACACCAAGUUCAUACUAACAAUGCUAGUUGAAAUAGAUCUUGUAUUAUAAGUUCCACGGAUUGAUAAACUUUGGGGAGUACUCUGAGGGAAGAGCUACAACUGAUCCGUGCGCUUGCGGUUCACGAAUUGACGUGCUAAGAAUUGUCAACAGGGCCAAGAAGGCCCACCCGAACAAAUUUAUUCCAUCAAAGUGGGUUUAAAGAUCAAACAUAUGCCCCCAAAAUUAAGAGGCGGUGACUAGGAUACAUAUUGGCAGAAGAGAAAGGGAGCCAUAGAGGAUUUCAAAUCGCAGCACACACAAACAUUACUACUUGUC
rnacentral:lncRNA from 1 species